AUUACCGCGGCUGCUGGCACGGAGUUAGCCGGUGCUUCUUCUGCGAGUAACGUCAAUCACCAAGGUUAUUAACCUUAACGCCUUCCUCCUCGCUGAAAGUACUUUACAACCCGAAGGCCUUCUUCAUACACGCGGCAUGGCUGCAUCAGGCUUGCGCCCAUUGUGCAAUAUUCCCCACUGCUGCCUCCCGUAGGAG
rnacentral:rRNA from 1 species